rnacentral:lncRNA from 1 species
UUACCUUUCCGAGAGAAUUCUUCACAUCCUUAGCCACCGUCUAAUUGUGUUGGAUUGUGUCCAAAUAAAUUACAUGAUUCUUCUCAUGGAAUUUUUUUUUGUUAAAAAUCACGAUUCAGCUUAUUUUUUGUUUGAAUGACCCUGUCAGUUAUAUCACCAUUGAUCGUCCAGCUAAGAUGAUUGAAUAUGGGCUCAUGUAUGUACAGUUUCAUCUAUCAAAUUUUUUCACUUAUUCUAGGG